GGAGAUAAAGCGGGGCUUCACACACACUUCACACUUUCUGAGUGGAAAGAUGAACUGCAAAACGACUGAAUUUGCAGUGAGGUUUUAGAGAAUUCCUGUGAGAAUGUUUUAAUUGUUGUUGUGGAACUAAAAGUGUGUGUGUGUGUGUGUGUGUGUGUGUGUGUGUGUGUGUGUGUGUGUGUGUGUGUGUGUGUGUAUGUGUGUUAGAACUCUGUUCUAAUUUUGUUUGAAAUGAAAAUAUUGUUUUAUUCUUAUCUCUGAAUUUUGACUAAUAGAUAAUAUGGUCAGAGAGAAAGCGAGAGAGAGUUAUAUACAUAUAUAAAUGAAAAGAGAGUAAGUGAGAAGGCAAAAUAUGAGAAACCCAUGUCAUUAAACCAAACCAAACCACGUUUGCCACAAUUUAACAGGAAUUUUUCUUUCCUAAACCGUAUGGUGCUCCUGGUUCAUCAGCUUCACAACAUAAAAUUAGCAUUAGUACAGAACUAACAAUUUGAACACACUUUCAGUCUUGCUGAUCAAUUCACUUGAACAACAGCCUGUAUGUAUGUAUGUGUAUGUGUGUGGACAAAUAUCAGAUGUCCUCACAAUGAUAAGUAUAUGUGAUAUGUUGACCUUCUGGAAACAUUUGUCUGGUUUCCCUGUAAAAAUAUUAUUACAAGUAGCUUAAAAAAUUAUUUGGGGGAAAAAACCACUGGUAGCUGUAGGCAUAGCCAACAUUUUUAUUGGUUGCUAUAAAGUUUUUUUCUUCUUUUUUAAAAAAUGCAGCUUUAAUUUGAAAAAACACUAAAGGAGCAAUAGCAUUCUGAGCUACAUACACAAGGCAAUUAAACCCCCAUGCAUAGACAGUGAUAAAGGAGUGUGUAUGCAUGUGUCUCCCUGAGCUGCAGGCUAUGGGAUCGUCAUUGAGCCUUCUUCAUCAAGGUAAAAUAAAUUAGCCUGGAUCAUCCGCAUACUAAAUCUGUGGUGUGUUACAGAUAUGGACCUCAGUGAGCAUCAACAUCCUGUCUGACUAUUCCUCUGAGAACAGUCAUAGAAUCACAGCUCUCAGUUUACACACACUGAACAGCUGAGUCUGACAUACUAUAUCUGUGCAUGCGUGUGGAAGGAAUGGUCCAAAAUUAGAUACAAUGAAAUAGAUCCAAAUGCCAAAAGGGAAAGAUAUGAGUGUUACAAAAGACAACACUAACAUUAGAGUUUGUGAAAAGAAUCGUCCUUAAAAUGGAGAUGAACCUUCUACAAAAAGGAAUCAUAUAAGUGAGUGAGACAAAUAAAGAAGGAGAGAAAGUGGGAUAGGAUACUCAGGGGACCAGGUGCCUGACCGAGUUGAGAGCGGCAACAUAUAGAGCAUGGCUGCAGGAGGGCAUGUAAGCUGGGAAUGUGGGCUACAUGCACACACUAUACAUGGUGUUGACAGGGAAAGAGUGGUGGUGCUUUAAAAACAUAAGAAAAAAACAGGUCAUUAAGGUCAGUAUGUGAGAUCACAUGUUCAUAGAUAAUUCCAGGGAGUGGAUGGAUGAGGAUGUUUGAGGCAGGCUGGCUAUGAGGCUGCGUGGAUGGUCGGAUAAAGCGAUUGAGGUGUGGAGGGGAUGGGUGUAUUGUUCUGUCACUUUGCCUGUGUCAGCAGGUGGAAGUGCUCAUCAGGACAUUAAAUAUGCAGCAAUGCUGACUGAGUCAGUGUGCUGAGGCAGCCAAAGCCAGAGGCCGAGGGGCCCACUACAGCCAGAUCAGGCCUAAACCUGCCUUAACCCUAAUCCAGUGUUGUCCAACAUGCUUCAUGACCCAAAGAUGAAAGGAGUCACAGUGCAAUUUAACUGAAUUACACUGCUGAAGAAUUGAAAGGCGAUAUGGCACACAGUGUUAUACAUGAAUUGGAAUAAUUAAUUACUGGAAUAGAUCACCAUGUGUGCAAUUUAUAGAGUGCAAUCCAUAUCAAAAUAAUAAUAUUUAAGAAUGUAAGAAGAAGAAGAAGAAAUGUAGCCAAGUGAAUCCAGAGAAUUUUUUUUAAAGCAGUGUGUAUGUACACAGUUAAGGGACCGGUUAUGCAUAUCUAAAAAUUUACACUGGGCAGUUUUUUAGUGACAUAAUCAGUGAUAAUCAUCUCAUUCUUUAAAGGUAAGGACAGUGAUUUUGCACAUAAUAUAUGGUAAAUAUAACACACACACACACACACAGGAUCAAUGCCUUGGUAAUUUGUUUCGAUCAAUUAAGGAGACAUCUGCUAGCAUUUAACCACAAUAACAGCCAAUCCCUUCUAUAUGAGGGAGCGAGAGACUGAGAGAGAGACAUACAGAUAAUUACAUAGAAUCAAAGCUUAGUGGACCAUCACAGAUGGACUUAUUAUUACUGACUAUAAUUUUUUUUCUUUUAGCUCUGCUGAGGGCAUUUUGCUGAGUGAGACAGCCAGAGCUUAUUGACACCAUAACUUUUUACUAGUUUUCUUCGACUGGUGUUUCACCUUUUAUAGUUCAUUCGUCUGUCUACAGCUAGCAGGAAGUGCUUCCCAUUUAACCAGUAUGCACAGACCUUCCACACCACUGAAUGGACAUGUUUCCUCAACAUUAACACUGUAGAUUAAUUAACAUUCACUAAAGAUGUAAACCUGGAGGAAGUCAUUAAAAGAUCAAGGGCACUAGAGUGUAGGGUUCUAGGGUUCGCCAUCCUCAUUUGGUUGGCAAGCAAGAGACCAGCCUGUAACAGCGAAUUGCAACUUAUUACUUAUUAAUACUCAACCGCAAAGAAGUGGCACAAUGCUUUGUUAUUACAAAUUAUUAAUACUGCUAUUAAUGUGUUAUUACAUAAUUCUAGAAAGAUUCAUGGGAGAGAAACAUCCCAAUGCAUUCUGUAUUGUCAAUCAUAAGCAUAUGCAGGGAAAGCAUCUGUCUUUUAAAUGACUCCAUAUUCAUCUCUUUCCAUCAUGCAUGCACACAUCAUAAUAUUACUGCAAAGAUUAAGUUGGGGACAGGAAAAUAUAAACAUCAUGACUAUAGAAAAGGAUAGCAAAUAGCAAUUAUGUUUGGGCACAUCUUGCUGACAUGUUCAGAAUGCCUGUGGGGAUAGAAUUUUUUUUUAUGUAUAAAAUAAAAUAUCUAAUAUAACUUGUAGAAAACAUUGAUAGAAGAUUGUAGUUGUGAGAGUCUAUACACAAUCUGGUUCAUGUGUCUAUUUGAAGGCCUGUACAGGUGAAACACUGUAUUUCCUAUCUCACUUACUCACUCACUCAUUCACACACUCACACACUUAUUUGAACACUUUAGUAGUGCAUACUCAAGUACAUUCCAGCACUGAACUGCAGGGUUUACAUCUUAAUUUAUUUCACUGGUCGAACAAUAGAGGACUUUACUGAUACUGAUAACUAAGUUGGGCAAUACCUGCUGAUAAUGGAUUAAUCAACUGAUAAAAAUAUAACACUCAAAGUAAAAUAUUGCUGAACUUUAUUACAAAAAUAAACAGUACUGAAUGCACCAUGAAAAUGGACUGUACCUUUUGAAAUGAAAUAAAUAUAUAAAUACUAACGCAUGGUGGCUUAGUAGAUAGCACGUUCACCGCCAGGGUCGGGGUUCGAUUCCCGUGGCUCUGUGGGUGCGGAGUUUGCACGUUCUUCCCGUGCUGCAGGGGUUUCUUCCGGGUACUCCGGUUUCCUCCCUCAGUCCAAAGACAUGCAUGGUAGGUUGAUUGGUAUGUCUAAAGUGUCCGUAGAGUAUGAAUGGGUAUGUGAGUGUGUAUGUGAUUGUGUGCCCUGCGAUGGAUUGGCACCCUGUCCAGGGUGUACCCUGCUUUGUGCCUGAUGCUCCCUGGGAUAGGCUCCAGGUUCCCCGUUACCUUGAAAAGGAUAAGAGGUAUAGAAGAUGGAUGGAUAAAAAAUAUACACCAAAUUUUUACCAAAAAGUAACACUCCAAAUAGCAAAUAAAAUAGAGACAUUCAAAAUGAAUAAUAAUAAAAAAAAAACACUUCAAAUAACACAACAAAAUUUGUCAGUGAUAGUUUUUAUUUCGCCUGUAGAGGCCACUCUCAUACUGUAUAAUGACAGCCUCUCCAGCAAAGGAUGCAACCUUGAAAAACUUUGGGUGUGGAUUUUCGCAGAUUACCGAUAGUUCCAACAAUUAGUCGACCUCUAACUUAUUUAGCACAUUCUCUUAUCCCAGGUGACUUAACACAAUAUGAGCCAGCAGUGAUACAAGUGCUAUAAAUCUUUCACACCUGACCUGAAACUCUAAACCUUAGGUCUGGGCUCAACUGGGAUCACUGCAGGUUUGUUUUUACAAACCUGAUCAUUUGCCAAUUUUUGUAAGUUGCAAAAUGGAUGCCAAUGAGUGCAUCACAUUUUUUUGUUCCAAUUAAUUUUUAGAAUUUAAUUAAUAUAUGAUAUAUUAUUUCCUUUAAUCUUUUUACUCUUUAGCCAAAGAUUAUUUGAACUGGGAAUUAGCAUACGUUGAAAUAAUCAUGUUAUUCAGUAACCCAUCUCAGGAUGAUACAAACAAGCUGUGGUUCUCUAGAAGCAAGACAACUGAUUUACAAUUGACCACAAAUCAGUUUCCUUGUUGAAAAAGAAAUUUCACCGAGAAUAUACCACUCUUUCAAUACAGCAUUGAAUAAGGAGAAAGUUGCAUCUAAACCUGUACAUUUAUUUACACUUUGCAUUUAUUUAUUAACACUAAAUGAACCCCAGACCACAGUAUUUUAUGUAAAAUGAAAAAUUCUAAAUGCACUUCAACAAAAAAGUGCGAAAAAAAAUCCUCUGGUGCAAACUAAAUGGGUUAGUAUUAAAACACCCCAGAUGUCUGACAAUUGAAGCAAAAAUGAUGUCUCAAAGUUAUAGAAAGAACAGAGACUGAAAGAGAGCGAGAGAGAGAGAAAACAGAGCAUGGAAUACGCUGGAAUAUGUGCUAGUGCCCAAGAGUGCCAGAGAUAAGAUCUAGACAGAAUCUUCCAAAUUGAAGAAGACUAAAUUAUCUGCCAAUAAUAUGAUGUACAUGAUAUUGAAACAUAAUCCAAAGCAGGUUCUUUGGAAUAGGCUGAAUAAAGCCUGAAGUGGUGCUGAGAGCCUUGGUAAAGUUCCAGGAUGAUCAAUGCUGCGAGUAAAACAGUCACACUCAGUGAUCUCCAUGUGAACUGCUUAAGGAAUGAAACAUUAAUGGGGGACUGGGUCCAGAUUCAGAUAUAGAGAGAGCGACAGAAAGACUGAUGUGCAUUAUUUUAUGUGGACACUCAAGAGAGAAGGUGAGCAGAAGGUCAAGGAGAUGAGUCAUAACCACAAAAAGGACACCAACAAGAGAUGAGGAAGAGAGGGGGGGGGAGUGUGUGUAUGUGUAAUGUAUACUCAUUACCUCAGUACAUAUACUUACUGCAGGUCUGUGUAGAAAUGGAACAGAGCACCUCUGAGGUUUAAUAGUAAAGAGAUCAAACACUGUGGCACUGAGGUCAUCAGCAGAAAGGGGAAUAAAAAAUUAAUUAAGGAAUAUCACUUAGAUUUCAAAGAUAUCCAACAUUUCAAAUUUAGAUAUCAAAUUUUUCCAAGAAUUUAAUUGAAUAGUACACACAUUGACUCACACAUACACACACACAGAGAGAGAGAGAGAGAGAGAGAGAGAGAGAGAGGUAACUGAUGCUCUUCACUACUUUUUGAAAGUAUUAAAUCUUACCUAAGCGUCUGACAGAAACUGAUCCAAACACUUUCUAAAGAUAUUGCUUGAUUCAUGGUAUACGUUUAUAAUAAAAUAAAACCAGAUUGUGACAUAUUGUGAAUGUAAAGUUCGGCUUUAUUCUGGCUGUUGCUGUCAUUACAAUCAGCUUGCACUCUAAAUCAUCUCUCAUUUAUGGAUUAUGGGAAAUAAUACAAAAGCUGGUGGGGAAUUUAUUUAUUUAUAUUUUUUUUAAUUCAAGUGUAUCUUUUCCAUGAGUCGCAAAAAUUAUUUAGAAAUGCUAUACAUGCACUUUUGGACCUGGGUUGUCAUAGAUCACAUUUUUUUUCACCCAUUCCUUUGCAAUGCACUUUUUAUUACACCAAUAUUAUGCUCAUCCACACUGACAGCUUGUUCCAUAGCAGAGAUGUCCUUGUUGUGUAUAUAUGAGAGAGGGUGGGAGGGAGAGAGAGAGAGAGAGAGAGAGAGAGAGAGAGAGAGAUGUUCUGAUAGGUAUGCAGUAGAUGCAAAAGUGUAGUUUUUUUUUCCUGUUUGAGUUCCUCCUUUUCUGCUUUUUUCUCCAUGUUGGUGCUGCUCAUUGAACUGCACUUGUGUGUGUGUGUGUGUGCGUGUGUGUGUGUGUGUGUGUGUGUGUGUGUGUGUGUGUGUGUGUGUGUGUGUGUGUGUGUGUAUGUGUGUGUGUGUGUUAUGGACCAGUCAAUGAUAUAUACAAUACAUAGUUUGGUAUUUAAUAUUUUAUCCCACCUCAUUAAAGAGUUUACCAUAUGACGCUGCAGUAACAAAUAGAAUUAAAGUGAAUACAAUGAAAUAAAAAAAGUCACAGUGCAGUAGAGGAGCUCCCCAGGAAUCUCAUUUCAGACUGUACAAGACAAACAAUGCAACCUCUAGUAAAUCACUAUUAAGCAAGAUUACAAAGAGACACAGUACAAAUUUUAAAUCUUCACCAGUUUAAGAGUGUUGUCUCUGAAUAUUUUACUAAGACAGAGAGAGAGAAAAAGAGAGACAGAGUGAGAGCAUGGUGAUCACAAACACAGUAGAGAGAAAAAUGCUUGUGAUUUAUUUAAAUAUUGUUACAAUGUGAUUUAAAAGAUUUAAUGAAAAACUUUGAUUUGGGAAAUUAAACAAGUGAAAUUAAAGAUCAAGAAUUUGAGAUGCCAAUAAUCACUAUAUAACCUUUACAGUUUAAAAUUAUGAUAAUUAGGUAGGAUAAGCUUGUGUAACAUCACAAAAUAUAACAAGCAAAAGAGCACAGGCAACACAAAAUAUACUGACUAUUUUUAAAGUACCCCUUCCCUUUUUUUUCCCCCUGUCACACUGGACAUUCUGGGCCUCUUUACUUUCUGUAGAGGAGAACACAUGGAUGAGCGUUAGGACUAUUGUUACUGUCGCACUUUGCCUGGAUCAGCCAAUCAGGGGCUGAAAGAGUGCUGAGUAAGGGCUGAACGCUCACGUCCAAAUGCAGGGGUGAGCGGAAAGGAGCUGCAAAUGCACUGCAGCAUGGUUAACACCUCUCAACAAAACCACACAACUCCAGUCCCAGGCUUGAGUGCAUGUGAUUUGCCUAAUCAGGGCCCUUAAAAUGUCUAAUGACUUCUUUUUUGCUCUGUAGGAAUCUAAACUAGAAAUAAACAAUAAAAUAAAAACAAUAAUAAAUAAAUAAGAGCCUAGUUAAUCAUAGGCAUACACUAAAGUUUACAAGCAGGUCAGAAGUCAGUGUAAUAAAUAGCAGGUAUUGAAUGAGGACGAUUAGCAAGCUGGCUGAUUGUAACAAAUACCAUGGCUAUAUGCAGUUACUACACAAUAACUGGAAUCCUGACAUGGACUAUGGCAUUAUAUAUCAUUCUGUUAACACCUUUAAUGUUUGGUAAUAAACUACAUAAAAGCAAGUAAAACAUAGUUUAUAAUGAUGGAUUACUGAUUCAUUACUUAACAAUUAAUUAAUAAUUAAGCAUCAAUAAUUAUUCAAUAAUUAUUGUAAGUUUAAAAUAGAUUUUAUAUAAUGUAGUUAUAUUUCAGUAUAAGUUUUAUUUUACAUUUGCUCAUUUAUUGGUAAAUUUAAUUCUUAGACUCAACCUAGUCACUGACCUGCACAGUUGCAUGCUUCCUCUGCUCCUAACACUCCUCAACUUCCUAAUAAUGAGCUGAAGAGCCCUUUAUGAGUUAUGAGGAUCAGGUGUGUCAGGAGCAGAGGAAAACCUUAUUCUUUGCAAGGAAGUGUGUCCCUGGAAGUCCCUGCCAACAUUUCAAAUAUUUUUUUUGAAAGACUUAAUUCACAUAUUUACUAACGUUUGCUUAUAUAUUGUAUUAAGAACAUAGGUGUGAGAUAAAUUAGUUAACCACAUAUUACUCAACUGUAAAUAAUUAAUUACCAUAAUUCUAUUAGCUCCAACAGUGAACAUAUGACAGGAAAAACUACUGUGGUUGAUCAAAUUCAAUGUAAUUGAAUUUAUUUCAAAUAAACUUGAAAUGAUGACCACUAGCUUAUUGUUUGAAAGGUAAAGUGAAACUGCCAACAGUGUUGUGGAUGGUGUGGACCAACAACAUCCAACCAAUCAGGAUAAAGUAUAUAAAGUGUCUUUAUAUACUUGUCAAUCAUAUUAUAAAUUAAUUAAAAAAUGCUCAAUCUCAGACACCCUGUGUGGUUGUUUGGCUGUUUGUGCUGUAAUUCUAUACCUAGAGCUCCUCCUGGGUUUGCAUAAAUGUAUUUUUACUGAAUUUGCAGUAUUAGGACUGGAAGCUUCACUAUGUUUCUAUAUUUUACCAGAACUCAUGCUCAAGCCCAUACCGCUUGAUUUAUUAAAUAUGCAUUCACAGGAAUUAUUCUGUGUUUCUUCAUUUCUUUUAUCAUUAUCUUAAAAAUGAAUGAAUCAAUCUAUACUCCCUGGAAUAAAUGCUUGCUUUAUGUGUCUACUGCUCUGAAAUUAUGUUAAAUCUCUGUCAGUGCUUGGUGUGAGGGUCAGAUCUGUAGCACUGUCAUGGCAAAGAAGGCAUGGUGAUAGGAGCGAGAGGCUAAAAGCAGUGACAGGAUGAAACUGAUAGCUGAACAGGUGUCGCUCUUUGACCAUUCCCCUGAGCACACAUGUGUUUGUGAGUGUGUGUGUGUGUGUGUGUGUGUGUGUGUGUGUGUGUGUGUGUGUGUGUGUGUGUGUGUGUGUGUGUGUGUGUGUUGGGAGUUGUGGGCAUGUCAGUCACACCACAAACUGACAUGCACUAAGAAAUAUCCAGAUAAGGAGAGAGAGAGAGAGAGAGAGAGAGAGAGAGAGAGAGAGAGAGAGAGAGAGAUGACAGGAGAGAAGGAGGGAAGGAGGGACUACAGGACCAAAGAUGAAUAACAAUCAUUAAGGAGAAAAAUGGAGGACACAAAAAAAGUUGUGUGGUGAAAAUUAAGGGAAAAGUGACAUAAUAAAUGCAGAUAGAAGAACAAUGCCUUCCCUGACUUUGAAAGCAAAAUGAUGGCCUUGAAUAGUUCAGAGCUUGGAUUAUGUCAAACUCCAUAGUUAUUCACAGGAAACCAUUCUCAGCUGUCCAGCCCCAUAUAUCACCUGAACAUUGCAAGCCUAGUUCCCGCAUUCUUGUGUACACUCACACACGCCUCAGCUGUCCUAAAACGUGACUGAAGAGAUAAGGAAUGGAAUGUGACAGGGACACACAUCCUCAGAAUAGACCAGGGUAUGCCAUCUCUCCUGAUGAUACAAAACAUGCACCCACAUUACACAUUGAAACAUUCACACCCGCUCUCAAAUCUUCUACUAUCACUAAAAUGACAAACUUUGUACUCAUACCUAGAAGAAAGCACUCACAAUGCUUAUACACAUAACUACCCCGUCCUCCUGUAAGUUGAAUUGCUUCUGCACUUUAGUGUUUCAGCCUUAAAUCUCUGUUCUAAAACAUUAUUUUUAAAAUUAUUUGUAAAUGUACAUAUUAUUUAUUAAUUCCAAACCAACCAAAUGCUAUCAUUCCUGCUCCAUUGCAUGCACCAAGACACGAAAAGCCAGGGCUGUGAUUUCAGAGAGGCCUCUAGGGUAUAGCUUUGGUGUGGCUAUUUGUCCAUAGAGGAGACUUUGGGGAAUGAGAGGCCGUGCUGGAACAGAGUGUGAUUCACUGAUCUGUUAUUCAGUUCCCUGCAGUGAGUGCUCUUCCCCUUGUAACAUACCCUCUCAGCACAUUGCGGCCUUACACUGGUUAGCUGAUCACUAAUUAACAAAUGGUUUGUCACCACAUUCAUUGAAAUGAUGCAUAUACAGACCAGGUAGAAAAAGAAAAUCAAUAUAUUUAAACUAUACUAUUUUUAACACAAACAACAGUGCUACACCUGGAGUAGAGGGAGGAGAAAAAUAUAAACAGGAAAAAAUACAGUAGCUUUCUUGUAACUCCACCUUCCUCUUCCUCAUAUCCUAUUUUAUCCAAUACACCCACAGUAAAUCCCCAACAUCCAUCUACUACUGUCUCUCUACUGAGAUUUGUAUUAAGCUCCUAAGAAGCAUGAAGGUACACUCUCCUUUUAGGUUCUUUCCACUCUCACGUCUUCCUGCAUAGCACAUCGCAGUGGUGCAGUCAUCACACACACACACAGCAAGGUGUCAGCAUUGUCCGUUGUCGUUCAUUCUGUUCUGUCUCCAUCACAGGGUUUAUUUUUAAAAGGACGGGAGGAGGUCAACAACAAAGUCACAGCCACUCAAGUAUUUUAAGAGCCGACUAAGAUGUAGUGUGUGUGUGUGUGUGAGAGAGAGAGAGAGAGAGAGAGAGAGAGAGAGAGAGAGAGAGAGGUGAAAGUACUAGUAGUUGCAUUAUGGCUGUGCUCUGUUCUAUUUAUUAGACCCUCCCCCAUCCAUACUAUUAAGCCCAGCCCACAUACCAAAUGCAGACACCCAGUGCAGCUUAAAAUGCAGCCUCUUUCUCUCAUCUUUUUCACACAUGCACACACACACAGACACACACACACACACGCACACACACUGUGAUCAACUUUGCUAAUGGCAAAAUGAUUAGCUUAUGCUAACUUAAAAGUGAGACCCUCAAGGGCAAAUCUAACAUGUUGAGCUAAAUAAAAUGGAUUGUUAGAAGCUUGCUUAUGAAAAUAAAGGAUUGCAGGCCGAAGCACAAAUCUGAGAGAGAAAAUGAGAGAGCGAAGACCAUGGGACUAUAGGUUGGUGUCUGUUAAUUCUGCCCGCACUUUAUUAGUGGUAUUGACAAGUCUGUGAUAAAUUCAUUGUUUUCUCAAGUUUGUCUGAAGCCGUUGUUUCUAGAUCCUUUUACUUAAAGACUUUGCUCAGAUGCUUUCAAUUUACAGGAUGCGCUCAAUCUCCAUGGGCUUCCGCAAACACACACACACACACAUAUUGAAACAUUACACAUGCACCAGCUUUAUGCAAUUGUAAUCUUAAUAUAACUACUUUGCACUGAAGAGUUUGGUUUGUUCCUCAUGCUUACCCAGUGAUAUACAGUGGGGGAAAUAAGUAUUGGACGCGUCAACAUUUUUUUCAGUAAAUAUAUUUUCAAUGAGGCCAUUCACAUGAAAUUUUCACCAGACAUCAGUAUUAACUCAAGAAAUCGGGAAAUAUAAAUAAUUUACAAUAUUAAAGUCCAUAAAUAAAGUUGAAUGACAGGAAAAAAGUAUUGAACACUGAAAUUUAUUUAAUACUUAUUGGAGAAACCUUUGUUUAUAAUGACAGCUUCAAGAUGCUUCCUAUAUGAAGAAAUUAAUCGGCCGCAGUAUUUACGUGUGAUUUUCUUCCCAUUCUUCUAAACAUAUUGUCUUUAAAUCUUGUUCCAUUGGAUUUAAGUCAAGUUAUUGACUGGGUCAUUGUACCGCCUUGAUUUUUUUUUCUCUGAAACCAAUUGAGAGUUUCCUUUGCUUUAUGCUUUGGAUCGUUGUCCUGCUUGAAGGUCCACCCACGAUUCAUUUUCAUCAUCCUAGUAGAUGGCAGCAGAUUCUUCUCAAGAAUCUCCUGGUAAAGGGCUCCAUUCAUCAUUCCUUCAAUUAUAUGAAGUCUGUCAGUACCAUGCGAUGAAAAACAGCCCCACACCAUGAUGCUUCCACCUCCAAACUUCACUGUUGCUAUAGUGUUUUUAAGGUGAUGUGCAGGACCAUUUCUUCUCCAAACAUGGUGUGUAGUAUGACAGCCAAAAAGUUACAUUUUGCUCUCGUCUGAGCAGACUACUCUGUCCCAGUAAUUCACAGGCUUGUCCAAAUGAGUUGUAGCAAACCUUAAACGAGCUUCGACAUGCCUUUUCUUUAUCAAUGGAGGCUUGCAGGGUGAGCAUGAGCAGUCGAGUGCAUUGCCUAUUGUUUUCUCUGUGAUGAUGGCAUCCAAAACAAAUGUAGACUGGAUUAGCAUGGUCCUGUGACUGUUCACAAAGCUUUGCAAGAGUAAAGAGCUGAUCUACUGUUCCAUGGCCUGACAGAACCUCUCAUAUCCUAGGUACAACUACUGGGAGGCCAAAGAGGGUGAUUCCCCUAUAAUUAGAAGACACUCCCUGUACCACAGUAUGUGUAGAUGUAAAUCUGGCUUUAUCUAUUCCAUCUCAUACAUUACAUUUACAUUUAUUCAUUUAGCAGACGCUUUUAUCCAAAGCGACUUACAAAUGAGGAAAUAUUAACUAUUAAAUAUUAAAAUUAUAUAUAUAUAUAUAUAUAUAUAUAUAUAUAUAUAUAUAUAUAUAUAUAUAUAUAUAUAUAAACAUUAACUCAGGCUCUUUAACUGCCAGAUAACUUACAUUCCAUGGUCUCAGAGCUAAUUUUCACUGCAUGCAUCUAGUCUGUCUGAGCAUCUCAAUCACAUGCCUGCCAUCUGACUAGCAUUGCCCCUGACCUCCACCCUUCAUCUUGCAUGUAGUGAGCUUCCAAGAUGGCCCUAUGUUGGAUUAUGUGAAUGGCCCAGUCACACUAGGUACUCGCUUACUGACAUCAUCCCCAGGACUGGGUUCAGGGGUGAGCCCUGUUAGCCCUAAUCUGGGUUGGGCAUUUUUUGUACCUUUUAUGGAGGUCUUUAGGAUCACUCUUUGUCUGAUCUCACCUCUCUGUUUACCAAGCCUGGGAGCAUUAAGCUCAGUAUGACAUAUGACAAGGCCCUUCACCACAACAAGGUCUCAAUCCACUGAGGGGGAGUUUCAACUUAAAUGUUGUAACAAGUGGGAACUUCGGAAACAAUUCGGAUACCUGAGCUUUCAAAUAAUUUAUGCCCUGUACCCUUUCUCAUUUUAGUUUAUAGCAGUUAGGACACAUACAAUAGUUUUCAUCUCUUACAGCUACAUUGGUUGCAUUAUGUACACUUUUACAAUAGAGGCAAGUGUUAGUAAAUUUCCAACUUAUUGAUCAGCUUAGUGGUUAAUGUUAAUUGGACACUUAAAUGAAGAGACUUCGGAAUUAUGACUUUUUUUGAGAAUGGGAAAUCAUCAAUUCAGCAAAUGAAGGUAACAUCAUUACAACAAAGUUUAUGUAAAAACAUGACAUAAGACAUUUUACACUGUGAACUGUGAACAUACAGCAUCAGUAUGUUUAUUAUGUAGAUUAUUAUACAGAUUAUAUAUUAUGUUUUUAAACAAUAUUCACAGAAAGUAAACAUAUGUUGAUUUCCAUGUAGUUCAAGCUUCAAACAGGCUAAAACAAACUGACACAGAGUAUAAAUAAAUAGAGCAGGAUGGAAAGGGUCAUGUUCAGACACAUCACAAAAGGCAAAAAUGGAACUGUAUCCGUGCACUCUGUACACAAUCUAUACUUAAUACUUUGCUUUGGUUAAUGGUUAUUAUUGUUCCUGUUUUGUCAAUUGAAAACUUAGUAUAAUUUAUUUGUUAAGAGUCUUUGAGGUGCUACAAGUGUAUUGACGGCAAAAUAAUAAAGCAUUGAACUUGUUACUUACCAAAGCGAUGAUCUGAUCAGCUUUUCCUCUCUGCUGUCCUUUACAG
ensembl:lncRNA